GGGAGCAAAGGGGACGUCACUGCUGCGGCGCUGGGAAUCCUUGCUAGGGUUUUCGGUGUUUGGGGAAAACUUUGGGCUGAGUUGGGUUCUGGGCUAGGCUAAAAUUUGGGCUUGUACUGGGUCAAUUGUAAAUGGACUCUCUUUUUUUGGACUGAAUUUGAUUUAUUAUUUUUAUUUUUAUUAUUAUUUUUUGGUUUUUUUUUUACAAUGUAUGUGGGCCGGGCAUAAAUUGGGUAUUACAGCUGCCCCUCUUUGCUCGCUAUCGUGUAACGGGAACAGAGCAAAGACUAAAAAGGACCAAUUUUGCC
rnacentral:lncRNA from 1 species